rnacentral:tRNA from 1 species
UCUUUGUUAGUAUAUCGGUUAGUACACGCGCCUGUCACGCGCGAAAGCGGGGUUCGACUCCCCGACAGAGAG